UGCAGUCGAACGGCAGCACGGGUGCUUGCACCUGGUGGCGAGUGGCGAACGGGUGAGUAAUACAUCGGAACAUGUCCUGUAGUGGGGGAUAGCCCGGCGAAAGCCGGAUUAAUACCGCAUACGAUCUACGGAUGAAAGCGGGGGACCUUCGGGCCUCGCGCUAUAGGGUUGGCCGAUGGCUGAUUAGCUAGUUGGUGGGGUAAAGGCCUACCAAGGCGACGAUCAGUAGCUGGUCUGAGAGGACGACCAGCCACACUGGGACUGAGACACGGCCCAGACUCCUACGGGAGGCAGCAGUGGGGAAUUUUGGACAAUGGGCGAAAGCCUGAUCCAGCAAUGCCGCGUGUGUGAAGAAGGCCUUCGGGUUGUAAAGCACUUUUGUCCGGAAAGAAAUCCUUGGCUCUAAUACAGUCGGGGGAUGACGGUACCGGAAGAAUAAGCACCGGCUAACUACGUGCCAGCAGCCGCGGUAAUACGUAGGGUGCGAGCGUUAAUCGGAAUUACUGGGCGUAAAGCGUGCGCAGGCGGUUUGCUAAGACCGAUGUGAAAUCCCCGGGCUCAACCUGGGAACUGCAUUGGUGACUGGCAGGCUAGAGUAUGGCAGAGGGGGGUAGAAUUCCACGUGUAGCAGUGAAAUGCGUAGAGAUGUGGAGGAAUACCGAUGGCGAAGGCAGCCCCCUGGGCCAAUACUGACGCUCAUGCACGA
rnacentral:rRNA from 2 species